GAGUUUGAUCCUGGCUCAGGACGAACGCUGGCGGCGUGCUUAACACAUGCAAGUCGAACGAUGAAGCCUAGCUUGCUAGGUGGAUUAGUGGCGAACGGGUGAGUAAUACGUGAGUGACCUACCUUUGACUCUGGGAUAAGCCUGGGAAACUGGGUCUAAUACCGGAUACGACCAAUCUCCGCAUGGGGUGUUGGUGGAAAGCGUUAUGGAGUGGUUUUAGAUGGGCUCACGGCCUAUCAGCUUGUUGGUGAGGUAAUGGCUUACCAAGGCGACGACGGGUAGCCGGCCUGAGAGGGUGACCGGCCACACUGGGACUGAGACACGGCCCAGACUCCUACGGGAGGCAGCAGUGGGGAAUAUUGCACAAUGGGCGCAAGCCUGAUGCAGCGACGCCGCGUGAGGGAUGACGGCCUUCGGGUUGUAAACCUCUGUUAGCAUCGAAGAAGCGAAAGUGACGGUAGGUGCAGAGAAAGCGCCGGCUAACUACGUGCCAGCAGCCGCGGUAAUACGUAGGGCGCGAGCGUUGUCCGGAAUUAUUGGGCGUAAAGAGCUUGUAGGCGGUUGGUCGCGUCUGCUGUGAAAGGCUGGGGCUUAACCCUGGUUUUGCAGUGGGUACGGGCUAACUAGAGUGCAGUAGGGGAGACUGGAAUUCCUGGUGUAGCGGUGGAAUGCGCAGAUAUCAGGAGGAACACCGAUGGCGAAGGCAGGUCUCUGGGCUGUAACUGACGCUGAGAAGCGAAAGCAUGGGGAGCGAACAGGAUUAGAUACCCUGGUAGUCCAUGCCGUAAACGUUGGGCACUAGGUGUGGGGGACAUUCCACGUUUUCCGCGCCGUAGCUAACGCAUUAAGUGCCCCGCCUGGGGGAGUACGGCCGCAAGGCUAAAACUCAAAGAAAUUGACGGGGGCCCGCACAAGCGGCGGAGCAUGCGGAUUAAUUCGAUGCAACGCGAAGAACCUUACCAAGGCUUGACAUAUACUGGACUGCGUCAGAGAUGGCGUUUCCCUUCGGGGCUGGUAUACAGGUGGUGCAUGGUUGUCGUCAGCUCGUGUCGUGAGAUGUUGGGUUAAGUCCCGCAACGAGCGCAACCCUCGUUCUAUGUUGCCAGCACGUGAUGGUGGGGACUCAUAGGAGACUGCCGGGGUCAACUCGGAGGAAGGUGGGGAUGACGUCAAAUCAUCAUGCCCCUUAUGUCUUGGGCUUCACGCAUGCUACAAUGGCCGGUACAGAGGAUUGCGAUACUGUGAGGUGGAGCUAAUCCCUAAAAGCCGGUCUCAGUUCGGAUUGGGGUCUGCAAACUCGACCCCAUGAAGUCGGAGUCGCUAGUAAUCGCAGAUCAGCAACGCUGCGGUGAAUACGUUCCCGGGCCUUGUACACACCGCCCGUC
rnacentral:rRNA from 1 species